rnacentral:rRNA from 1 species
GACGAACGCUGGCGGCGUGCCUAAUACAUGCAAGUCGAGCGGACGGAUGGGAGCUUGCUCCCAGACCGUCAGCGGCGGACGGGUGAGUAACACGUGGGCAACCAGCCUGUAAGACUGGGAUAACUCCGGGAAACCGGGGCUAAUACCGGAUAACUCUUUCCCUCACAUGAGGGAAAGCUGAAAGAUGGCAUCUCGCUAUCACUUACAGAUGGGCCCGCGGCGCAUUAGCUAGUUGGUGAGGUAACGGCUCACCAAGGCGACGAUGCGUAGCCGACCUGAGAGGGUGAUCGGCCACACUGGGACUGAGACACGGCCCAGACUCCUACGGGAGGCAGCAGUAGGGAAUCUUCCGCAAUGGACGAAAGUCUGACGGAGCAACGCCGCGUGAGUGAUGAAGGUUUUCGGAUCGUAAAACUCUGUUGUCAGGGAAGAACAAGUACCGGAGUAACUGCCGGUACCUUGACGGUACCUGACCAGAAAGCCACGGCUAACUACGUG